UACGAAGGGGGCUAGCGUUGUUCGGAAUCACUGGGCGUAAAGGGCGCGUAGGCGGCUUUAUAAGUCGGGGGUGAAAGCCUGUGGCUCAACCACAGAAUUGCCUUCGAUACUGUAGAGCUUGAGUCCGGAAGAGGUAAGUGGAACUGCGAGUGUAGAGGUGAAAUUCGUAGAUAUUCGCAAGAACACCAGUGGCGAAGGCGGCUUACUGGACCGGUUCUGACGCUGAGGUGCGAAAGCGUGGGGCGCAAACAGG
rnacentral:rRNA from 1 species